rnacentral:rRNA from 1 species
UGGGGGAUAUUGCACAAUGGGCGAAAGCCUGAUGCAGCGACGCCGCGUGGGGGAUGAAGGCCUUCGGGUUGUAAACUUCUUUUGCUCUGAACAAGGCAUGCUAAUGGGUGUGUUGAGUGUAGGGGUUGAUUAGCGCCGGCUAACUACGUGCCAGCAGCCGCGGUAAUACGUAGGGCGCGAGCGUUGUCCGGAAUUAUUGGGCGUAAAGGGCUUGUAGGUGGCUGGUUGCGUCUGUCGUGAAAGCUCAUGGCUUAACUGUGGGUUUGCGGUGGGUACGGGCGGGCUUGAGUGCAGUAGGGGAGGCUGGAAUUCCUGGUGUAGCGGUGGAAUGCGCAGAUAUCAGGAGGAAUACCGGUGGCGAAGGCGGGUCUCUGGGCUGUUACUGACACUGAGGAGCGAAAGCAUGGGGAGCGACCAGG